rnacentral:rRNA from 1 species
ACUAGAUCGGCAUCGAACUAGUAUUAAAGGAGCGAAUGCUCCGCUACUGGAUGGACUCGCGGUGCAUUAGCUAGUUGGUGAGGUAGAGGCUCACCAAGGCGAUGAUGCAUAGCCGACCUGAGAGGGUGAACGGCCACAUUGGGACUGAGACACGGCCCAGACUCCUACGGGGAGGCGGCAGUAGGGAAUUUUCGUCAAUGGGGGAAACCCUGAACGAGCAAUGCCGCGUGAGUGAAGAAGGAUUUCGGUCU